rnacentral:tRNA from 1 species
GGAGAGAUGACCGAGUGGUCGAAGGUGCACGAUUGGAAAUCGUGUGUGUCGAAAGGCACCGCGGGUUCGAAUCCCGCUCUCUCCGCCA